rnacentral:rRNA from 1 species
CAAAAACAUGUCCUUUUGUUGUUAAUUUAAGGUCUAAUCUGCCCACUGAUUUAAUUAAAUGGCCGCAGUAUUUUAACUGUGCAAAGGUAGCAUAAUCAUUAGUCUUUUAAUUGAAGGCUUGUAUGAAUGGUUGGACGAGAUAUAAGCUGUCUCAUAUAUAAUUAGAUAAAAAUUUAUUUUUUAGUUAAAAAGCUAAAAUUAAUUUAAAAGACGAGAAGACCCUAUAGAUCUUUAUAAAUAGAAUAUUUUAAUUAUUAGGAAUAUUUGAUUUAAUAUUUUUUUAUUUAUUUCGUUGGGGUGAUGUUAAAAUUUAUUGAACUUUUGAUAUAUAUAUAAAUACAUUGAUUUUUGGUAUGUUGAUCCAAUUUUAUUGAUUAAAAAAUUAAGUUACCUUAGGGAUAACAGCGUAAUUUCUUUAGAGAGUUCAUAUCGAUAAAGGAGAUUGCGACCUCGAUGUUGGAUUAAGAGAUAGCUUGGGCGCAGCAGUUCAAGAAUUUAAGUCUGUUCGACUUUUAAUAUCUUACAUGAUCU